rnacentral:lncRNA from 1 species
GCCCAGACCCCCCAACAUCCCACCCUGGGCACCCCUGGAGCUCUGGCAGCCUCGGGGCCGUGCCCAUUCCCUGGGGAGCCUGGGCAGUGCCAGCNCUGCCCAGGCUCCCCAGGGAAUGGGCACGGCCCCGAGGCUGCCAGAGCUCCAGGGGUGCCCAGGGUGGGAUGUUGGGGGGUCUGGGCAGGGACAGAAUGGAAUGGGAAUGGAUGAUCCCUGUGGGUCCCUUCCAGCCCAGGAUAUUCCAGGAUUCUGUGAUCCCCUGUUGGUGGGGAGCUCAGGCUGUGGUGCCCCAUCAGGUAUCCAAAGGAAUGAGUGUUUUCCCAUUGGGUGUUUUCCCAUCUGAACAAGCCCAGAAAUCCAGGGAGGGUAAACUGAGCAUCCCUUCCCUGCAUCCCAACAUCCUCUGAGCCAGGAACAGAUCCUGAGCAGCAGGAGGGGAGGGAGGGGAGGAAAUCACAAUGGAAUGUGCUGGAAAACUCUUGCUCCUCUGCUGCAUUUCUCCUGGUGCUCUGAGCAGGGAGUGACUCACUGAUCCCACUUCCCCCCAGGGUCACCCUGGAAGGUGCAGGAGGCUUUGAGAAGACCUCAGAGCCCUGUGGGGCAGGCCCAGAGCAUUCCCUGCUUCAGGGUGAUCCCCACAGACUGCUCUUCCUGGUGCUCAUUAGCCAGGAAAACUGAGGAAAUGGAUCCUGAAGUGGCUGAGCACAGGAUGAAGAUUUCCUACAUGGUACCAACAUUUCAGUGAGCCCUAGAAUGAAACAGGAGAGAAUUCCCAGCAGAGCAGGGACACUCUUCCUCUCCCUGGGAUUUUCCAAUCCAUCAUGUCCAAGAAGGGCUGAAAUUCCAGCAGGAACAUUCCUGUUGCCAUGGCGACCGCGGAAUCGCUGGCUCCAUGGACACGGCCAGAGAUGUUUGAAGCGCUCAGAGAUGUCAAUUAUCACCCAUCACAUAAUGAGCCCUUCCAAGAAACCCCAGGUUGGCUUUACAGAGCCCAAACAGUUUCCCUUUUUCCAUUUGCUGCCUCUGUCACAGGGAAGUGCAGGUAAUUUAUGGAGUAAACCAUCCUUGAGUGGUGUCCCUAAAGCUCCGGAGUCACUUUAACCCUCAAAGGAAGCAUUUGCAAAAAUCUGCUUUGAAAGGAGCUGUUUUGAGUCACUUCAAGGACGUGAGACCUGGGAGCUGCUGGCUCCUCCUUUGUUUUCCAGAUCCAGGAAGGAAAAGCAGCCCCGCUCCACUUGGAUUCUUUCUUCAGUAGGAAAAAAAAUUAAAAAUAAAUAAAAUCAAGAAAGAAGAGUAAGAGGGCUG